rnacentral:tRNA from 1 species
CGCGGGGUGGAGCAGUUGGUAGCUCGUCGGGCUCAUAACCCGAAGGUCGUUGGUUCGAAUCCAUCCCCCGCUA